GCGGUGAACACGAACCUCUGAGUCAGAACUUCCAGGACAUGGGGAAGUGUCUGCCAGGAGCAAAUCCCUGUCCCUGAAGUCUGGUAGAAAAAAAAUUUGUGGAUAUACUGAAAUCGGCCUCUUCCCUUCUCCCUUGGGAUUCCCUGUGGCUCCUUCCCUGCCCUGGGUCUCUCAAGGCUCCACUGAAUAAAUGAGUGAUCUUCUUGGGGCCUUUCCAGCAGCUCCCAAAGUCCCAAAGAAAUAGAUUUUGGGGAUAGGAUGUCCCUUAAAUUCUCCAGAGGAGGUGACAUUCCUUGAAACCAAGUGUUCACCGCCCUGAGUUUUGCCGUAGGGAAAACUGUGCUCAAACAGAUCCCAAAUCCUGUCUCCUCCGUGACAACAUUCAACGCUUGGAAGAUUAAAUACAGGCCUGGAUGGAUCCACCUGUUUCCUGCCCCUCUGGAGCCACGGGAACGAGGUGACAGCUGUGGAUGGAUUGCUGAGCUGGCUCGGAGAUGUUUGGCCACUCAGUGGAGGUGCACAAAGCCACAUCUCCAAGGAAAACUGGCCUUCAGCACCUCUAAAACUGUGCCUGUGCAGAUGUGACACAUCUGGAAGACAAGAUAAAUGGUUGCACCAAGUGAGA